rnacentral:rRNA from 1 species
ACCAGGUUUCCGUAGGUGACCCUGCGUAGGAAUCAUUA